GCGUUGGUAGUGUAAUGCUUAACAUACGCUCCCGGAAAGAGUGAGAUCUGGGUUCGAAUCCCGGCUGACGCA